UCGGGAAUUUUGGGCAAUGGGCGAAAGCCUGACCCAGCAACGCCGCGUGAAGGAUGAAGUUUUUCGGAAUGUAAACUUCGUAAAAAUAGGAAGAAUAAAUGACGGUACUAUUUGUAAGGUCCGGCUAACUACGUGCCAGCAGCCGCGGUAAUACGUAGGGACCAAGCGUUGUUCGGAUUUACUGGGCGUAAAGGGCGCGUAGGCGGCGCGACAAGUCACUUGUGAAAUCUUCGGGCUUAACUCGAAACGGUCAAGUGAUACUGUUGUGCUAGAGUACAGAAGGGGUAAUCGGAAUUCUUGGUGUAGCGGUGAAAUGCGUAGAUAUCAAGAGGAACACCAGAGGCGAAGGCGGAUUACUAGGCUGAUACUGACGCUGAGGCGCGAAAGCUAGGGUAGCAAACGG
rnacentral:rRNA from 1 species